rnacentral:rRNA from 1 species
UACGUAGGAUGCGAGCGUUGUUCGGAAUCACUGGGCGUAAAGCGUACGUAGGCGGUAAAUUGUGUCUGCUAUUAAAGACCGGGGCUUAACUCCGGGAAUGUAGCAGAAACUGAUUUGCUAGAGGUUAGUAGAGGGAAUCGGAAUUCUCAGUGUAGCGGUGAAAUGCGUAGAUAUUGGGAAGAACACCAGUGGCGAAAGCGGAUUUCUGGACCAUAACUGACGCUGAGGCACGAAAGCGUGGGUAGCAAACAGG